AUGUGGCUCCGCUUGAAACCACUUAUCCCAGUUCCUCCUGUCGGUCUUCAUGUACUGAACGUGCACCAGGGUACCGGGGUUCACAAAAAGACAUAUGAAAGUGACCCUUUAAUCUCUAUGUAUAAAUGGCGAAUGUUGUACCACUCAUUUACCUUCAAACAUCCAUUUAUACUACUGUACUUCCCCAAGAACAUCUUCAUAUGCUACUGUACAAUGAUUAGAAAGUCAACUUUGUAUAAAAUUAGUACUAAAAUGUACUCCCUCCGUUUCAAAAUAGAUGUCUCAACUUUGUAUAAAAUUAGUACAAAGUUGGGUUAUUUAUUUUGGAACGGAGGGAGUAGAAGUUUGAAAUCUCUUGUGCAAGAAUAUUAA
rnacentral:rRNA from 1 species